GUCUCUAUGGCUCAGUCGGUAGAGCGUUGGUCUCAUAUUACGCAUAUGAGUCGGUGGUACACCCUCGACAUAAUUCACAUCCAAAGGUCGCAAGUUCGAACCUUGCUAGGGACA